rnacentral:rRNA from 1 species
GAGUAAUGUCUGGGAAACUGCCUGAUGGAGGGGGAUAACUACUGGAAACGGUAGCUAAUACCGCAUAACGUCGCAAGACCAAAGAGGGGGACCUUCGGGCCUCUUGCCAUCAGAUGUGCCCAGAUGGGAUUAGCUAGUAGGUGGGGUAACGGCUCACCUAGGCGACGAUCCCUAGCUGGUCUGAGAGGAUGACCAGCCACACUGGAACUGAGACACGGUCCAGACUCCUACGGGAGGCAGCAUG